AAGCUCGUAGUUGAAUUUCGGGAUCAAUACGUCGGUCGUGCCUUCGGUACGCACUGGCGUCGUUGAUUUCUCCCUUCUGAUGAACCAUGAUGUCAUUAAUUUGGUGUUGUGGGGAGUCAGGACUGUUACUUUGAAAAAAUUAGAGUGUUUAAAGCAGGCAAACGCUUGAAUACAUUAGCAUGGAAUAAUGAAAUAGGACGUUCGAACCUAUUUUGUUGGUUUCUAGGUACAACGUAAUGAUUAAUAGGGAUAGUUGGG
rnacentral:rRNA from 1 species